rnacentral:rRNA from 1 species
GUCGAACGGUAACAGGCGAAAGCUUGCUUUUGCGCUGACGAGUGGCGGACGGGUGAGUAAUACUUAGGAAUCUGCCCAGUAGCGGGGGACAACAACCGGAAACGGUUGCUAAUACCGCAUACGCCCUACGGGGGAAAGCAGGGGAUCUUCGGACCUUGCACUAUUGGAUGAGCCUAAGUCAGAUUAGUUUGUUGGUGGGGUAAUGGCCUACCAAGGCGACGAUCUGUAGCUGGUCUGAGAGGACGAUCAGCCACACUGGAACUGAGACACGGUCCAGACUCCUACGGGAGGCAGCAGUGGGGAAUAUUGCACAAUGGGCGCAAGCCUGAUGCAGCAAUGCCGCGUGUGUGAAGAAGGCCUGCGGGUUGUAAAGCACUUUCAGUAAGGAGGAAAAUCUCAAGGUUAAUACCCUUGAGCCUUGACGUUACUUACAGAAGAAGCACCGGCUAACUCCGUGCCAGCAGCCGCGGUAAUACGGAGGGUGCGAGCGUUAAUCAGAAUUACUGGGCGUAAAGCGUGCGUAGGCGGCAUGGUCAGUCGGAUGUGAAAGCCCCGGGCUUAACCUGGGAAUUGCAUUCGAAACUACCAAGCUAGAGUAUGCUAGAGGAAAGUGGAAUUCCCGGUGUAGCGGUGAAUGCGUAGAUAUCGGGAGGAACAUCAAUGGCGAAAGCAACUUUCUGGAGCAAUACUGACGCUGAGGUACGAAAGCGUGGGG